rnacentral:tRNA from 1 species
GGGCGAGUAGUAUAGCUUGGAUAGUACAUAGCCUUGCGGAGGCUAUAACCAGGGUUCAAAUCCCUGCUUGCCCG